GGGGGGACGCAGUAGGAUAGGCGAAGCGUGCUGUUGGAGUGCACGUCCAAGCAGUAAGGCUGAGUGUUAGGCAAAUCCGGCACUCGUAAGGCUGAGCUGUGAUGGGGAGAGGAAAUUGUUUCCUCGAGUCGUUGAUUUCACACUGCCGAGAAAAGCCUCUAGAUAGAUAACAGGUGCCCGUACCGCAAACCGACACAGGUAGUCAAGAUGAGAAUUCUAAGGUGAGCGAGCGAACUCUCGUUAAGGAACUCGGCAAAAUGACCCCGUAACUUCGGGAGAAGGGGUGCUCUUUAGGGUUCACGCCCAGAAGAGCCGCAGUGAAUAGGCCCAAGCGACUGUUUAUCAAAAACACAGGUCUCUGCUAAACCGUAAGGUGAUGUAUAGGGGCUGACGCCUGCCCGGUGCUGGAAGGUUAAGAGGAGUGGUUAGCUUCUGCGAAGCUACGAAUCGAAGCCCCAGUAAACGGCGGCCGUAACUAUAACGGUCCUAAGGUAGCGAAAUUCCUUGUCGGGUAAGUUCCGACCCGCACGAAAGGCGUAACGAUUUGGGCACUGUCUCAACGAGAGACUCGGUGAAAUCAUAGUACCUGUGAAGAUGCAGGUUACCCGCGACAGGACGGAAAGACCCCGU
rnacentral:rRNA from 1 species